UACGGAGGGGGCUAGCGUUGUUCGGAAUUACUGGGCGUAAAGGGCGCGUAGGCGGCUUUGUAAGUUAGAGGUGAAAGCCCCGGGCUCAACCCUGGAAUUGCCUUUAAGACUGCAUCGCUUGAACAUCGGAGAGGUAAGUGGAAUUCCGAGUGUAGAGGUGAAAUUCGUAGAUAUUCGGAAGAACACCAGUGGCGAAGGCGACUUACUGGACGAUUGUUGACGCUGAGGUGCGAAAGCGUGGGGAGCAAACAGG
rnacentral:rRNA from 1 species